UGUCGAGAUGGCCGAGUUGGUCUAAGGCGCCAGAUUAAGGUUCUGGUCCAAAGGGCGUGGGUUCAAAUCCUACUCUGACAAUAUUAGAUC
rnacentral:tRNA from 1 species